GUCCACGCCCUAACGAUGUCAACUGGUUGUUGGACGGCUUGCUGUUCAGUAACGAAGCUAACGCGUGAAGUUGACCGCCUGGGGAGUACGGCCGCAAGGUUGAACUCAAAGGAAUUGACGGGACCCGCACAAGCGGUGGAUGAUGUGGUUUAAUUCGAUGCAACGCGAAACCUUACCUACCCUUGACAUGUCAAGAAUUUUGCAGAGAUGUGAAAGUGCUCGAAAGAGAGCUUGAACACAGGUGCUGCAUGGCCGUCGU
rnacentral:rRNA from 1 species